rnacentral:rRNA from 1 species
UUAAGCGACUAAGCGUACACGGUGGAUGCCCUGGCAGUCAGAGGCGAUGAAGGACGUGCUAAUCUGCGAUAAGCGUCGGUAAGGUGAUAUGAACCGUUAUAACCGGCGAUUUCCGAAUGGGGAAACCCAGUGUGAUUCGUCACACUAUCAUUAACUGAAUCCAUAGGUUAAUGAGGCGAACCGGGGGAACUGAAACAUCUAAGUACCCCGAGGAAAAGAAAUCAACCGAGAUUCCCCCAGUAGCGGCGAGCGAACGGGGAGCAGCCCAGAGCCUGAAUCAGUGUGUGUGUUAGUGGAAGCGUCUGGAAAGGCGCGCGAUACAGGGUGACAGCCCCGUACACAAAAAUGCACAUACUGUGAGCUCGAUGAGUAGGGCGGGACACGUGGUAUCCUGUCUGAAUAUGGGGGGACCAUCCUCCAAGGCUAAAUACUCCUGACUGACCGAUAGUGAACCAGUACCGUGAGGGAAAGGCGAAAAGAACCCCGGCGAGGGGAGUGAAAAAGAACCUGAAACCGUGUACGUACAAGCAGUGGGAGCACGCUUAGGCGUGUGACUGCGUACCUUUUGUAUAAUGGGUCAGCGACUUAUAUUCUGUAGCAAGGUUAACCGAAUAGGGGAGCCGAAGGGAAACCGAGUCUUAACUGGGCGUUAAGUUGCAGGGUAUAGACCCGAAACCCGGUGAUCUAGCCAUGGGCAGGUUGAAGGUUGGGUAACACUAACUGGAGGACCGAACCGACUAAUGUUGAAAAAUUAGCGGAUGACUUGUGGCUGGGGGUGAAAGGCCAAUCAAACCGGGAGAUAGCUGGUUCUCCCCGAAAGCUAUUUAGGUAGCGCCUCGUGAAUUCAUCUCCGGGGGUAGAGCACUGUUUCGGCAAGGGGGUCAUCCCGACUUACCAACCCGAUGCAAACUGCGAAUACCGGAGAAUGUUAUCACGGGAGACACACGGCGGGUGCUAACGUCCGUCGUGAAGAGGGAAACAACCCAGACCGCCAGCUAAGGUCCCAAAGUCAUGGUUAAGUGGGAAACGAUGUGGGAAGGCCCAGACAGCCAGGAUGUUGGCUUAGAAGCAGCCAUCAUUUAAAGAAAGCGUAAUAGCUCACUGGUCGAGUCGGCCUGCGCGGAAGAUGUAACGGGGCUAAACCAUGCACCGAAGCUGCGGCAGCGACGCUGAUGCGUUGUUGGGUAGGGGAGCGUUCUGUAAGCCUGUGAAGGUGUACUGUGAGGUAUGCUGGAGGUAUCAGAAGUGCGAAUGCUGACAUAAGUAACGAUAAAGCGGGUGAAAAGCCCGCUCGCCGGAAGACCAAGGGUUCCUGUCCAACGUUAAUCGGGGCAGGGUGAGUCGACCCCUAAGGCGAGGCCGAAAGGCGUAGUCGAUGGGAAACAGGUUAAUAUUCCUGUACUUGGUGUUACUGCGAAGGGGGGACGGAGAAGGCUAUGUUGGCCGGGCGACGGUUGUCCCGGUUUAAGCGUGUAGGCUGGUUUUCCAGGCAAAUCCGGAAAAUCAAGGCUGAGGCGUGAUGACGAGGCACUACGGUGCUGAAGCAACAAAUGCCCUGCUUCCAGGAAAAGCCUCUAAGCAUCAGGUAACAUCAAAUCGUACCCCAAACCGACACAGGUGGUCAGGUAGAGAAUACCAAGGCGCUUGAGAGAACUCGGGUGAAGGAACUAGGCAAAAUGGUGCCGUAACUUCGGGAGAAGGCACGCUGAUAUGUAGGUGAAGCGACUUGCUCGUGGAGCUGAAAUCAGUCGAAGAUACCAGCUGGCUGCAACUGUUUAUUAAAAACACAGCACUGUGCAAACACGAAAGUGGACGUAUACGGUGUGACGCCUGCCCGGUGCCGGAAGGUUAAUUGAUGGGGUCAGCGCAAGCGAAGCUCUUGAUCGAAGCCCCGGUAAACGGCGGCCGUAACUAUAACGGUCCUAAGGUAGCGAAAUUCCUUGUCGGGUAAGUUCCGACCUGCACGAAUGGUGUAA